CAAUUCAGUAACUUAACUAGUUUUAUAGGCUCCCGUGAUGCUGCGACACUUUUUUUCAGCAAGUUGAUUUAUAUCAUAAAUAAUUUUUUAAAUUCACCUUAAAUUUAGAAUAAUUUAUAUAAUAUGUAUUUACAUUAAGCUUGUGAUAUUUUACAAAGCAUUUUCGUAUUUAUAUCAUACUAAAUUUUAACUAAUUAUACAACUAGGCAAACAAAUUUUGAUCAUAUUUAUCUUCAUAAGCUUCUCUUUCUCCUCCUCCUUACAUCUGCUAAAAAUCUGCAUGAGGCAGACAACUUGAGAUACGUUCCCCUCGAAAAUUGCAGCUUCCAAUCUUUUAACUCAGCAACGUCACUUGAGCUUACAGUUCCAUUUGGGUUCUGUCAAGAAAUUCUCAACAUGUAAAGAUACAUUCUUGUGAUUUCAAGAAAAUUAUAGUAACUUUUAAUCACAGGCUUAGCCUACAUGAACCCAAAGGAAAACCAAAAAAAAAAAAAAAAAAAAAGUUCAUUCCAAAAAUUGCAUCCUAUUCCCAACUCGGAGCGAAGCAUCUGGAACUAAAUCAGAGCCCAAUUAACAAAAAGAAUAAAAGAAAAGGAGAAGAAAGAGAACAAAUGAGAAAAGCAAAAGAUUUACCAUUUCAAUCCUCUUUUACACAUAAUUUUCUUUGGGCAGAUUGUUCCCGCUCUGAAUCUCCUUCCUGCAAUUUCAUAUUAUUACUUUCACUGACAGAACACACCAUUAGUAGCUAUAAAUCCACUCGUACAACCUAUGCCAUGUGGGUAUUGCAAGUGGGAAGCAAACUUGCUUUCUGUCUGAUAAAAUUAAGUGGGAAAUGCAGGGAGGCUUUAAAAAU
rnacentral:lncRNA from 1 species